rnacentral:rRNA from 1 species
CAGUCGCCGCGGUAAUACGUAGGGUGCAAGCGUUAAUCGGAAUUACUGGGCGUAAAGCGUGCGCAGGCGGUUAUAUAAGUCAGAUGUGAAAUCCCCGGGCUCAACCUGGGAACUGCAUUUGAGACUGUAUGGCUAGAGUGUGUCAGAGGGGGGUAGAAUUCCACGUGUAGCAGUGAAAUGCGUAGAUAUGUGGAGGAAUACCGAUGGCGAAGGCAGCCCCCUGGGAUAACACUGACGCUCAUGCACGAAAGCGUGGGGAGCAAACAGGAUUAGAUACCCCGUAGUCCCUGUCUCUUAUACA